rnacentral:rRNA from 1 species
UACGUAGGGGGCAAGCGUUGUCCGGAAUCAUUGGGCGUAAAGCGCGUGUAGGCGGUUCGAUAAGUCUGCUGUGAAAAGUCCAGGGCUCAACCCUGGGAUGCCGGUGGAUACUGUCGGGCUAGAGUACGGAAGAGGCAGUGGAAUUCCCGGUGUAGCGGUGAAAUGCGCAGAUAUCGGGAGGAACACCAAUUGCGAAGGCAGCUCGCUGGGACGUCACUGACGCUGAGACG